rnacentral:rRNA from 1 species
UGAACGCUAGCGGCAGGCUAACACAUGCAAGGUCGAGGGGCAUCGGGAGUAGCAAUACUGCCGGCGACCGGCGCAAGGGUGCGUAACGCGUGAGCAACAUGCCCGUAUCAGGGGGAUAAUCCAUGGAAACGUGGUCUAAUACCCCAUAGUAAUUAUGUAAGGCAUCUUAUAUAAUUUAAAGCUUUGGUGGAUACGGAUUGGCUCGCGUGACAUUAGCUGGAUGGUAAGGUAACGGCUUACCAUGGCUACGAUGUCUAGGGGUUCUGAGAGGAAGGUCCCCCACACUGGAACUGAGACACGGUCCAGACUCCUACGGGAGGCAGCAGUGAGGAAUAUUGGACAAUGGAUGGAAAUCUGAUCCAGCCAUGCCGCGUGCAGGAAGACGGCCCUAUGGGUUGUAAACUGCUUUUGUAUGGGAGCAAUAAGGGCUACGUGUAGUCCGAUGAGGGUACCAUACGAAUAAGCACCGGCUAACUCCGUGCCAGCCGCCGC